UAAUACAGAGGUGCCGAGCGUUAGGCGGAAUCACUGGGCUUAAAGCGUGUGUAGGCGGACUUCUAAGUACCUUGUGAAAUCCCACGGCUUAACUGUGGAACUGCUUGGUAUACUGGUUGUCUUGAGCCACUUAGGGGUUACCGGAACAAAUGGUGGAGCGGUGAAAUGCGUAGAUAUCAUUUGGAACGCCAAUGGUGAAAACAGGUAACUGGGAGUG
rnacentral:rRNA from 1 species